rnacentral:rRNA from 2 species
AGCAGCCGCGGUAAUUCCAGCUCCAAUAGCGUAUAUUAAAGUUGUUGCAGUUAAAAAGCUCGUAGUUGAAUUUCGGGGUCAGUAGGUUGGUCAUGCCACUGGUAUGUACUGGUCUCACUGAUUCCUCCUUCCUGAUGAGCCGUAAUGCCAUUAAUUUGGUGUUGCGAGGAAUCUGGACUGUUACUUUGAAAAAAUUAGAGUGUUUAAAGCAGGCUAACGCUUGAAUACAUUAGCAUGGAAUAAUGAAAUAGGACGUUCGAUCUUAUUUUGUUGGUUUCUAAGAUUGACGUAAUGAUUAAUAGGGAUAGUUGGGGGCAUUAGUAUUCAAUUGUCAGAGGUGAAAUUCUUGGAUUUAUUGAAGACUAACUACUGCGAAAGCAUUUGCCAAGGAUGUUUUCAUUAAUCAAGAACGAAAGUUAGGGGAUCGAAGACGAUCAGAUACCGUCGUAGUCUUAACCAUAAACUAUGCCGACUAGGGAUCGGAUGAUGUUAAUUUUUUAAUGACUCA